AGCUCGUAGUUGGAUUUGGGUCGACCGGGCCGCCGGGCCGCCGCCUCCGUGCGGCGAGUUCCCGUGCGUCCCCGGGACCGCACGUUCACCCCCGCGGUGCUCUUGACUGAGUGUCCGCGGUAGCGGGUGACCGAACGUUUACCUUGACAAAACCGGAGUGCUCGAGGCGUGGGCGUUCGCCGCCCGUACGUCCUCGCUGGGAAUAAUGGAAGAGGACCGUUGGUCAAAAAAGGUUUUUCGUCAGAGAGGUUGGAGAGCAAAAAGGAGGUUGUGCUGGUGGGGGGUUUACAAAGGGGGGUAACUCCCUUUCCCUCUCUGGUCUUCCUUCUUCUCCUCCUCGAAACCUUCCUCCCCGCGUACCGCACUGGGGAUCGGUUUGUGCUUUUCGGCGGAAAGGGCGGUUUGAGACAGAAGGGUGAAAGCAGGUGGCCGUUUGCCGGAUGGCGAAAGCUGGACGGCCGGUCAUUUGUGGAAGCCUGGAAUCUUAUUCCCCCUCACUGUCGUGGUGCUUCCGUACCCUCGGUGUCAGCGGGAGGAGGUCGAAAAUCAAAAUAAAUAUGACGUGUCAUGAUUAAGAGGGACGGCCGGGGGCAUUCGUACCGCGGCGCGAGAGGUGAAAUUCUAGGACCGUCGCGAGACGAACGAUAGCGAAAGCAUUUGCCAAGAAUGUUUUCCUUAAUCAAGAACGAAAGUCGGAGGUUCGAAGGCGAUCAGAUACCGCCCUAGUUCCGACCUUAAACCAUGCCGUCCGACCGCCCGCCAGGGUUACUACCGCGACUCGGCGGGCGGUGACUUUCCACCGGGAAACCCUUAAGCUUUCGGGUUCCGGGGGAAGUACGGUCGCAAAGCUGAAACUUAAAGGAAUUGACGGAAGGGCACCACCAGGAGUGGAGCCUGCGGCUUAAUUUGACUCAACACGGGGAACCUCACCCGGCCCGGACACCGCGAGGAUUGACAGAUCGAUAGCUCUUUCUCGAUCCGGUGGGUGGUGGUGCAUGGCCGUUCUUAGUUGGUGGAGCGAUCUGUCUGGUUAAUUCCGAUAACGAACGAGACUCUAGCCGGUUAAGUAGCCCGAGUGGCGUGUUGUUGAUUUAAAAACCGCCCUAGCGGCAUUCGGGGUGCUUCGCGGAAGCUGUCUGGCUUUAACGGUGAUGGGACGGGGAGGUGGAAGACGACGGUUUUAGCCGCGUGCGUCGCGGCUGGGAUCUAGUUUUUUUAACUUCCCUUUAAUCCUGUCUCGUUUCGGCCUUUCACUUUUGUGGGCCUCUGUUUGCUUAGCUGGGGUAGAUAAAACGCUAACGAGAGUCGGGGGCAGUGGACGUUACUYGUGGAAUGGGUGGGCGCUCCUUAGUGGUGCGUCCCUCUUCCCGGUUUCGCUUUUCUGCUUUCCUCGUCGUCUCGCGCCACCGGCUUUCGAGUGCAAAAGCUUCUUAGAGGGACGAGCGGCGUUCAGCCGCGCGAGAUUGAGCGAUAACAGGUCUGUGAUGCCCUUAGAUGUCCGGGGCCGCACGCGCGCUACACUGAAGGGGUCAACGCGCCAUUACGUUUCCCGGGCCGAAAGGCUCGGGGAACCGGUGGAACCCCGACGUAGCGUUCGUGCUAGGGACAGGGACUUGCAAUUGUGUCCCUCGAACGAGGAAUUCCCAGUAGGCGCGAGUCAUCAGCUCGCGCCGAUUACGUCCCUGCCCUUUGUACACACCGCCCGUCGCUACUACCGAUCGAACGAUUUAGCGAGGUCUUCGGACCGGCGGCCGAAGGUGCGCGAGCGCCGGCGGCU
rnacentral:rRNA from 1 species